rnacentral:tRNA from 1 species
GCGGGCCCGUACCAGAGGUAAGCAGGCCGCUCCGGGCCGCCCCGGGAAGCUUCGGCUGGGCGCCGGUUCCACCCCGGCGGGCCAACCCC